ACACAUGCAAGUCGAACGCGGUAGCAAUACUGAGUGGCAGACGGGUGAGUAACAUGUGGGAAUCUGCCUUGUGGUUCAGGACAACAUUGGGAAACCGAUGCUAAUACUGGAUAAGCCCUUACGGGGAAAGUUUUAAUGCCAUAAGAUGAGCCCGCAUUUGAUUAGUUAGUUGGUGAGGUAAUGGCUCACCAAGACAAUGAUCAAUAGCUGAUCUGAGAGGAUGAUCAGCCACACUGGGACUGAGACACGGCCCAGACUCCUACGGGAGGCAGCAGUGGGGAAUCUUGCACAAUGGAGGAAACUCUGAUGCAGCGAUGCCGCGUGAGUGAAGAAGGCCUUUGGGUUGUAAAGCUCUUUUGUAGGGGAAGAUAAUGACUGUACCCUAAGAAUAAGGUCCGGCUAACUUCGUGCCAGCAGCCGCGGUAAUACGAAGGGACCUAGCGUAGUUCGGAAUUACUGGGCGUAAAGCGCGCGUAGGCCGUUGAGUUAGUUAAUUGUGAAAUCCCAAAGCUUAACUUUGGAACUGCAAUUAAAACUGCUCGACUAGAGUUUGAUAGAGGAAAGCGGAAUACAUAGUGUAGAGGUGAAAUUCGUAGAUAUUAUGUAGAACACCAGUUGCGAAGGCGGCUUUCUGGAUCGACACUGACGCUGAGGCGCGAAAGUAUGGGUGGCAAAGAGGAUUAGAUANCCUCGUAGUCCAUACCAUAAACGAUGAUUGCUAGAUGUUGGAAAUUUAUUUUCAGUAUCGCAGCUAACGCAUUAAGCAAUC
rnacentral:rRNA from 1 species